rnacentral:tRNA from 1 species
GCCUUGGUGGCUCAGUUGGUUCAGUGUCUGACUUCAGAUCAGGUUGUGAUUUCGUGGUUCAUGGGUUUGAACCCCUUGUCAGGCU